rnacentral:tRNA from 1 species
GCCUCUGUGGCGGAAUUGGUAGACGCGCCGGAUUCAAAAUCCGGUUCUGGCAACAGAGUGGGAGUUCGAUUCUCCCCGGAGGUACCA